rnacentral:rRNA from 1 species
CAGUCGCCGCGGUAAAACGAAGGGGGCUAGCGUUGCUCGGAAUUACUGGGCGUAAAGGGAGCGUAGGCGGAUCGUUAAGUUGGGGGUGAAAGCCCGGGGCUCAACCUCGGAACUGCCUUCAAUACUGGCGAUCUUGAGUAUGAGAGAGGUGAGUGGAACUCCGAGUGUAGAGGUGAAAUUCGUAGAUAUUCGGAAGAACACCAGUGGCGAAGGCGACUCACUGGCUCAUUACUGACGCUGAGGCUCGAAAGCGUGGGGAGCAAACAGGAUUAGAUACCCCCGUAGUCCCUGUCUCUUAUAC